UGGCGGCGUGGUUAAGACAUGCAAGUCGAGCGGGAUUUUUUUCUGUAGCAAUACAGGGAAAAGUCUAGCGGCGAACGGGUGCUUAACACGUGGGCAACCUGCCGAGAAGUGGGGGAUAGCUCGCCGAAAGGCGAAUUAAUACCGCAUGUGAUCAGAGUGGACAUCCACUCAAGAUUAAAGUCGGGGCAACCUGACGCUUCUUGAGGGGCCCGCGGCCUAUCAGCUAGUUGGUGAGGUAACGGCUCACCAAGGCUUUGACGGGUAGCUGGUCUGAGAGGACGACCAGCCACACUGGGACUGAGACACGGCCCAGACACCUACGGGUGGCAGCAGUCGAGAAUUUUUGACAAUGGGGGAAACCCUGAUCGAGCGACGCCGCGUGGAGGAUGAAGGUCUUCGGAUUGUAAACUCCUGUCAUUGGGGAACAAGGUGCAUACGUUAACUGCGUGUGCAUUGAUAGUACCCGAAGAGGAAGAGACGGCUAACUCUGUGCCAGCAGCCGCGGUAAUACAGAGGUCUCAAGCGUUGUUCGGAUUCAUUGGGCGUAAAGGGUGCGUAGGCGGCGCGGUAAGUCGGGUGUGAAAUCUCGGAGCUUAACUCCGAAACUGCAUUCGAUACUGCCGUGCUUGAGGACUGGAGAGGAGACUGGAAUUCUCGGUGUAGCA
rnacentral:rRNA from 1 species